UUUGAUGGCGACCGGCGCACGGGUGAGUAACACGUAUCCAACCUGCCGAUAACUCUGGAAUAGCCUUUCGAAAGAAAGAUUAAUACCGGAUAGUAUACGAAUAUCGCAUGAUAUUUUUAUUUAAAGAAUUUCGGUUAUCGAUGGGGAUGCGUUCCAUUAGUUUGUUGGCGGGGUAACGGCCCACCAAGACUACGAUGGAUAGGGGUUCUGAGAGGAAGGUCCCCAACAUUGGGACUGAGACACGGCCCAGACUCCUACGGGAGGCAGCAUG
rnacentral:rRNA from 1 species